rnacentral:rRNA from 1 species
GUACGUAGGUGGCGAGCGUUGUCCGGAAUUACUGGGCGUAAAGGGCGUGUAGGCGGCCUUUUAAGUCAGAUGUGAAAUCUCAGGGCUUAACCCUGAAACUGCAUUUGAAACUGGAGGGCUUGAGGAUCGGAGUGGGCAGUGGAAUUCCCAGUGUAGCGGUGAGAUGCGUAGAUAUUGGGAGGAACACCAGUGGCGAAGGCGACUGCCUGGACGACACCUGACGCUGAGGCGCGAAAGCUAGGGGAGCGAACGGGAUUAGAUACCCCGGUAGUCCUAGCCGUAAACGAUGGGUACUAGGUGUGGGAGGUAUCGACCCCUUCCGUGCCGCAGUUAACACAAUAAGUACCCCGCCUGGGGAGUACGGCCGCAAGGUUGAA